ACCCUUUUAUCGUUCUCUUUUGGCCGGACCUUCAGCUAGCAAGGUAUGUUGUCCUUGGCGCCGUAAUUUGGCAAUAUAAAACUGUGGUAAAGUUACAUAAAGUGCUGUUACGCAAUUAUAUGUUUUGUUACAAUGUGAACAAUUAUAAAGAUUUAUGUUAACUUU